rfam:Agrilus planipennis Contig74418, whole genome shotgun sequence.
CCUUUCGUAGCUUAAUGGUCAGAGCAUUGGUGCGUAAACCCUAAUGUCCCGGGUUCGAUUCCCGGCGAGAAUG